AUGUCAUCAUCCAAUAGUUCCGACGAUAACCGUCAAGAUCAGGAUGAGACGAAUCAGCUUCACCCUGAUGAUCUAGGUCAACUGGAGGAUGUAGAAGCGCAUCUAGAUUGUGGUGUUGGCGAGGGAUCCUCACGAAAGAGUAAGACCCUAAAGAUGCAUCAUCAUACUCUGCCUAUUCAGUUCCCAACCACUCUUUCGACAAACCACUUUGACAACCUAAUCCGCGUCGUGAGGUGCAUCACAUUCCUCGUGCACAUGUCCCCUCAGGCUGGGAUAUCCAGCGUGACGUGGGUCAAAUGCACAAAGGAAAGACGGUUGGGGUACCAGCAAUUAUGA
rnacentral:rRNA from 1 species